rnacentral:misc_RNA from 1 species
GAUGAAGAACGCAGCGAAAUGCGAUAAGUAGUGUGAAUUGCAGAAUUCAGUGAAUCAUCGAAUCUUUGAACGCACAUUGCGCCCUUUGGUAUUCCUUAGGGCAUGCCUGUUCGAGCGUCAUUUAAACCUUCAAGCUAAGCUUGGUGUUGGGUGACUGUCCGCUUCACUGCGGACUCGCCUCAAAAUUAUUGGCGGCCGGUACAUUGGCUUCGAGCGCAGCAGAAACGCGAACUCGGGCCCGUCGUAUUGGCUCCCAGAAGCUAUCUUCACAAUUUUGACCUCGGAUCAGGUAGGGAUACCAGCUGAACUUAAGCAUAUCAAUAAGCGGAGGA